AGGCAAAUGACCUGCUGUUUAAAAGGGCACGCACGCAGACAGUGGCAACCCAGCGUCUGAACCUAUGGCUCUUUGUUCAACUUGAACAGAUUAACAAUGGAAUCUCACACUGUCACCCAGGCUGGAGAGCGCUGGCACAGUCUCGGCUCACUGCAACCUCCGUCUCCUGGGUUCAAAUGAUUCUCCUGCCUCAGCCAUGAUGCUCAAUUUCUAAUACUAAUUGCCUAUUUUACUGUCUGUUACAGCUUCAUUGUAGGAGGUGUGAAAGGGGAGGGAAAUUGUGUUGGAAGAGGAGAUUAGGACAUCAAGAGACACCAGGAGUGCCCAUGCACAG